rnacentral:rRNA from 1 species
AGAGUUUGAUCCUGGCUCAGGACGAACGCUGGCGCGUGCUUAACACAUGCAAGUCGAGCGGAAAGGCCCUUCGGGGUACUCGAGCGGCGAACGGGUGAGUAACACGUGAGUAACCUGCCCUGGACUUUGGGAUAACCCUCGGAAACGGGGGCUAAUACCGGAUACGACACUCCACCGCAUGGUGUGUUUGUGGAAAGUUUUUCGGUCUGGGAUGGGCUCGCGGCCUAUCAGCUUGUUGGUGGGGUAAUGGCCUACCAAGGCGACGACGGGUAGCCGGCCUGAGAGGGCGACCGGCCACACUGGGACUGAGACACGGCCCAGACUCCUACGGGAGGCAGCAGUGGGGAAUAUUGCACAAUGGGCGGAAGCCUGAUGCAGCGACGCCGCGUGAGGGAUGACGGCCUUCGGGUUGUAAACCUCUUUCAGCAGGGACGAAGCGCAAGUGACGGUACCUGCAGAAGAAGCGCCGGCCAACUACGUGCCAGCAGCCGCGGUAAGACGUAGGGCGCGAGCGUUGUCCGGAUUUAUUGGGCGUAAAGAGCUCGUAGGCGGCUUGUCGCGUCGACCGUGAAAACUUGGGGCUCAACCCCAAGCCUGCGGUCGAUACGGGCAGGCUAGAGUUCGGUAGGGGAGACUGGAAUUCCUGGUGUAGCGGUGAAAUGCGCAGAUAUCAGGAGGAACACCGAUGGCGAAGGCAGGUCUCUGGGCCGAUACUGACGCUGAGGAGCGAAAGCGUGGGGAGCGAACAGGAUUAGAUACCCUAGUAGUCC